AGAGUUUGAUCAUGGCUCAGGACGAACGCUGGCGGCGCGCCUAACACAUGCAAGUCGAACGAGCGAGAGAGAGCUUGCUUUCUCGAGCGAGUGGCGAACGGGUGAGUAACGCGUGAGGAACCUGCCUCAAAGAGGGGGACAACAGUUGGAAACGACUGCUAAUACCGCAUAAGCCCACGGGUCGGCAUCGACCAGAGGGAAAAGGAGCAAUCCGCUUUGAGAUGGCCUCGCGUCCGAUUAGCUAGUUGGUGAGGUAACGGCCCACCAAGGCAACGAUCGGUAGCCGGACUGAGAGGUUGAACGGCCACAUUGGGACUGAGACACGGCCCAGACUCCUACGGGAGGCAGCAGUGGGGAAUAUUGCACAAUGGGGGAAACCCUGAUGCAGCGACGCCGCGUGGAGGAAGAAGGUCUUCGGAUUGUAAACUCCUGUUGUUGGGGAAGAUAAUGACGGUACCCAACAAGGAAGUGACGGCUAACUACGUGCCAGCAGCC
rnacentral:rRNA from 1 species